rnacentral:rRNA from 1 species
CCUACGGGAGGCAGCAGUGAGGAAUAUUGGUCAAUGGACGAGAGUCUGAACCAGCCAAGUAGCGUGAAGGAUGACUGCCCUAUGGGUUGUAAACUUCUUUUAUCUGGGAAUAAAAUGUUCCACGUGUGGGAUUUUGUAUGUACCAUAUGAAUAAGGAUCGGCUAACUCCGUGCCAGCAGCCGCGGUAAUACGGAGGAUCCGAGCGUUAUCCGGAUUUAUUGGGUUUAAAGGGAGCGUAGGGGGUUUUUUAAGUCAGUUGUGAAAAUUUGCGGCUCAAACCUAAAAUUGCAGUUGAAACUGGCAGUCUAGAGUACAGUAGAGGUAGGCGGAAUGCGUGGUGUAGCGGUGAAAUGCAUAGAUAUCACGAAGAACUCCGAUUGCGAAGGCAGCUCACUGGACUGCAACUGACGCUGAGGCACGAAAGUGUGGGUAUCAAACAGGAUUAGAUACCCUUGUAGUC